rnacentral:rRNA from 1 species
UACAGAGGCCUCUAGCGUUAGGCGGAAUCACUGGGCUUAAAGCGUGUGUAGGUGGAUGCCUAAGUGCCUUGUGAAAUCCCACGGCUCAACCGUGGAAUUGCUGGGCAUACUGGGUGUCUUGAGCCAUCCAGGGGUCGCUGGAACAAACGGUGGAGCGGUGAAAUGCGUAGAUAUCGUUUGGAACGCCAAUGGUGAAAACAGGCGACUGGGGAUGAGCUGACACUGAGACACGAAAGCCAGGGGAGCAAACGGG